rnacentral:rRNA from 1 species
UACGAAGGGGGCUAGCGUUGCUCGGAAUUACUGGGCGUAAAGCGCACGUAGGCGGCUUCUUAAGUCGGUGGUGAAAUCCUGGAGCUCAACUCCAGAACUGCCUUCGAUACUGGGAGCUCGAGUCCGGGAGAGGUGAGUGGAAUUGCGAGUGUAGAGGUGAAAUUCGUAGAUAUUCGACAAGAACACCGGUGGCGAAGGCGGCUCACUGGCCCGGAACUGACGCUGAGGCACGAAAGCGUGGGGAGCAAACAGG